UGCUCCGCCUAACGCCUGACCUGUGCUCGCCUCACGCCCGACCUGUUGCUCCGCCUCACGCCCAGCCUGUUGAUCGGUGGACGGGUAAGCGCGCAUGGCAUCGGAAGGAGCUCGAAAAGUAUAAGGUAACUAAUGAAACUAACGUGAAGCAUGUUUGAUGACCACUUUAUAAACACAACACCUAGGAUAAUUUAGCAGCUUUUUAUUGUAAUAAAAUGCCUUUUGAAUGACACAGAUUUUUAUGUUGGCUAGAUGAUGACAGUAAGUAACGUUACUGUGAUUUGUGAUCUUUCUGGGGUGUUAACUGUAAAGCAAUGGAUAAUUGCGUGAAAAUCAAACUUAAAGAAUGCAAUCUUGAGGAGUUAAUCCCCACAUUUGAAGCACAGGAGCGAACCUUUCCUCGUUUUUAGGUCAAUUUGAAUACAAUUCAGAGGGGUGGCAUGGGGGUGCAGUGGGUAGUGCUGUCGCCUCACAGCAAGAUGGUCGCUGGUUUGAGCCUUGGAUGGGUUUCCCCUCCACAGUCCAAUGACAUGCGGUGUAGCUGAAUUGGAUUGGGACCAAUAUUGCUGAGUAUCUUCAUCCAUUGAAUUCAAGAAUCUAUUGAGUUUCCUCAUGUUCUCAUCCUUGGAGACCACCACUUCUUUCAAGCCUUUGCUCACGUGCUGUGCUAUUUAUUAUUGCAAAGUACAUUACUUGCCAAAGUGAACGUUUGCUAUAAAGCAUUCUACAUCUUUGGUGUGAACUACCCCAAGCAGUGUUCCCUGGUGUGGCAGACUGUGGUUUAUGGACAUCCUGGGGAGGAGACACUAGCAGUAAGGGUUCUGCUAGCAUUAAUUUUUGCUGACAAACAGUAAUCAUUAAUACUGUGACCUCACUGCUUCCUUGGAUUCUGUGUUCUUUAACUUGUACUUUGGAUUGUGGGGGAAAAGGAGCACCCAGAGAAAACCCACACGAACACGG